AACCCUAUCUCACCCCCUUUUCAUCUUCUCCUCCUCUCUCUCUCAUUCAAGGAGAUCGAAGACGACGAGGCCCUCUCAAGAGAUUGCCGACCUACGAUCACGUCUCCAGAGGGAUCUUCUGUAAUGCCAGCGAGAUUCCUCCGAAGCUGAUAUCAUCGGCCACAAGCCUCACAAGCAGAAACUACUUCUCAACCUUCUCCCCAACAUGACCAGCGGGGAUGAGGGUCGACUCCUUCAUCAGAUCUAGAUCGUUGUGCAGGGAUAUGUGUGCUCAACGUAGCAAAGUAGGCAUCUUCAACAAUGAUGGGAAAAACCGAUGCAGGCUAAUGCAGGGGGUUCUGGCAUAGUUGAUGUAAGCUGAAGCAGGGGGGUUCUGGCAUAGGAUGAGAAUUGAAUGGUAGGAAAUUCGGUUCUAUUUUUUUUUCUUCUUAAAAAUCAGUGUGAAUUUUCUGCUCAUGGGAUUUUUUCUUCUUGAAAGAAAGGGAGUUUGGAAUUUAAGUUGCCAGAAGUGCCCUUAUGAAGGGUUUAAUGCCUUUUCAGUAAGUGUUUAAUGCCCAUCUCACUUAAAUGAUAUUGAAUAAAGAAAAUCAGAGCUACUUUCUCAGGCAUUUCACAAGGACCUAUCGUGCAUAUUGGAGCCAUUGUGCAGUAUUUUGCUCCUUUGCUUACUCGACAAGCCUGUUAGAUCAUGAGGCCUUUUUUCUUCCACAAUGCAGUAUUCUGCUUAUUCAAGGUCGAUUCAGGUGUAUAGUUGGAAACUGGAAUAUUUAUAUUCUUUGGUUUUGGAUGCUUUGGAGUUCAUUUCUCAAAAGAGGUUUGAAUUCUGACUGUUGUUCUGCUUCCUUUGUCAUAUUCAAUUAGGUGCAAAUUUAUAGAAGGAUUUCAAACUUUUAUUUUAAUAAUUCCUUGGAUAUUGAUUUGGAUAUUGUUUAGUGGAAUUCAUCCUUUUAUUUGUUAUCCAAACCCUUUUUUUCUUUUUUUCAGGCCAUUUGCUCAUUCAAUCCAACCCUAGAUCGAUCUAUAUUGGUCCUAUUCAAGAGUCCACACUACAGCAGAAUGCCUUAUGAUUCCUUCUGAAGGUAUUAAAAGACUUGGAGAAGAAAUGAGGCCUGUAAAAUUGACCACUAAAUUAUUUGGUAUGCUUCUAAUGCUUUAUUUUGAUCUUCUUGAGUGAUCUCAAAUUCAAACUUUUGGUAUGCUUUCUUCCA